rnacentral:lncRNA from 1 species
UGUGUAAAGUUCUCUGUGCCAUUUAAAAAAGGAAGCUGCAGAACAAACUUUGUCUUAUAGAAAGGAGCAGAGACACAUAUCAACUGGCUACCAAGAGAUACAGAGAGUCAAUCAGAAAGUACAAAGGACGACCCAGAAAUAGAACCACUCUUCAGAGAAAGAAGUAAGUCACAAAGGAUGCGAAGAGUAUGGUAGCCAUCGACCACUCCUGUGGCAUUCCCAAUCACUCCAAGUAGCUCAUUACAGCCCCUUUAAAACUGGAG